rnacentral:pre_miRNA from 1 species
CUUAUACUCCCCCUGUCCCAUAUUAAGUGACUUUCUAUUACAUGUAUCUAGACGCUUUUUAGGCAUAGAUACAUCCAUAUUUUGGCAAAUUUGAGUCACUUAAUAUGGGACGGAGGGAGUAGCUU